AAGGUUGGCUAAUCCUGGUCGGACAUCAGGAGGUUAGUGCAAUGGCAUAAGCCAGCUUGACUGCGAGCGUGACGGCGCGAGCAGGUGCGAAAGCAGGUCAUAGUGAUCCGGUGGUUCUGAAUGGAAGGGCCAUCGCUCAACGGAUAAAAGGUACUCCGGGGAUAACAGGCUGAUACCGCCCAAGAGUUCAUAUCGACGGCGGUGUUUGGCACCUCGAUGUCGGCUCAUCACAUCCUGGGGCUGAAGUAGGUCCCAAGGGUAUGGCUGUUCGCCAUUUAAAGUGGUACGCGAGCUGGGUUUAGAACGUCGUGAGACAGUUCGGUCCCUAUCUGCCGUGGGCGCUGGAGAACUGAGGGGGGCUGCUCCUAGUACGAGAGGACCGGAGUGGACGCAUCACUGGUGUUCGGGUUGUCAUGCCAAUGGCACUGCCCGGUAGCUAAAUGCGGAAGAGAUAAGUGCUGAAAGCAUCUAAGCACGAAACUUGCCCCGAG
rnacentral:rRNA from 1 species